CAGGACGCUCAUACUACCAGACAGACUUCCGAAACGCGAUUGCGACAAUAGCGCACGAGAAAACGAAAUGUGCGCGUUUGGCACCGCUCCACUUCAUAUCGUAAAGCGCUGUCGCAUACAUCCCUAAGUAAUGAUUGCAGAUGGCCCAUAAGGCCACGCUGCGAGAUGGGUGUGUAAUCGCCUCGCAACGGUCCCAGAUAUGGCACCGGGAUGUUUCGUCUGGGUGCUGCAUCGAUCAGCCCACCAUACAGCUUUUUGAUUUCCGAUUUUCCUUACCGACCACUACGUCGGCAGCUGUGGUCAAUGACCCUUGGAUUUAGAUGGAUGUUCCUGCUGCGUUGCUAGCUAUGUGAAGCAAAAAAUUCGGCGGGCGCCGCGGGUUCGUACAUGGAAACUUUGCUCUUCAAAAAGGGCAACUUGAUGCGAAAGGUUAGUAAGAGAUAGAAUGGCAUGGAUCUAAUUUUAUGAAUGGUUGCUUGCUUAGUGGCGCUGGCAACGCUGUGGCUGCUAAAAGCGAGGAGUGUG
rnacentral:lncRNA from 1 species